rnacentral:rRNA from 1 species
GCACAAGCGGUGGAGCAUGUGGUUUAAUUCGACGCAACGCGAAGAACCUUACCUGGGCUCGAAAUGUAGUGGAAUCCGGCAGAAACGUCGGCGUCUAGCAAUAGACCGCUAUAUAGGUGCUGCAUGGCUGUCGUCAGCUCGUGUCGUGAGAUGUUGGGUUAAGUCCCGCAACGAGCGCAACCCUUAUCUUCAGUUGCUACCAUUUAGUUGAGCACUCUGACGAAACCGCCUCGGAUAACGGGGAGGAAGGUGGGGAUGACGUCAAGUCAGCAUGGCCUUUAUGUCUGGGGCUACACACGUGCUACAAUGGCCGGUACAAACCGUCGCGAUACCGCAAGGUGGAGCUAAUCGGAGAAAGCCGGUCUCAGUUCGGAUUGCAGGCUGCAACUCGCCUGCAUGAAGUUGGAAUCGCUAGUAAUCGCGGAUCAGCACGCCGCGGUGAAUACGUUCCCGGGC